UUGUUGGGGGUCUGAAGGAACUCCUCAAACCUCCAUGAUUUAGCAGGAGACAAGAUAAGGUCAAUCACCCCAGCACGUGGACCCAUUUAGAUGAAGUAAAUGUACUGAGACUCCAGAGGAAGGUCUUCAGGACUCAGACCUUAGUUAUAGAUUAAAAGAAGUUAAUCACUUAUGUCUUUAGAUGAAUGCACACUUAUAUGUAGACAAAUAGCUUAGGAAAACUGUACAAGCUUUGGAAAACUGUAAUUUUGAGUUGGUCUGGUGAUAAUUUCCAGGUCUUCUCCAUGUAACUGGUUACAGAAAUAAAAACUCUCCUCCUCCCCAGUUCAUCUGCAUCUUGUUAUUGUGCUGCGAGAAAUAGCAGCCUGACCCUCAGUUUGGCCUGGGAUCAAAAUGUGGCACACAAGCCAGGAAUUAAGGAGAGUGCUGCAUUCAGCAGCUGGCAACUUGCUACGAGACAGUCUUCAGGAGGAUCCUGGCAGCUGCUGGGUGAGGUGUCCCCAAGGACCCUCCAGAGGGCUGUUGUGCGCAAAUCUGCACGUCCUUUUCACUACUGGGGAAAAACAGAGAUCAGGAGCAGAUGCGCUCAAAGGGACCUUGUGUUUUUGAGAAAAGGUGGGUUUUUUUUUCUUCUCAGUUAACUGAAUUCUGUUUUCUUCAUUAAUAGCUAUUACAACAAAAGCUACUGUGAGGUUUUUAAGAAAAUUAAGUGUAAUUUAGACACUUAGAAAUGUCUUUGUUUACGGAAAAAAAAAAAAAAAUGUAAGCGCAUUGUAAAAGCCUCACAUGGUCUAGCCUCAGAAUAAUUCUCCCUCUUUGAAAACCCAGGAUUCAGUGUAGGACCUGCCCAGAACUCAAAGAUCCAGUUAAAAGACAGGAAAAAGGAGGUCUUCUGAAUCUAUAAAAUGUACUUCUAUUGGCAUGCCUAAUACGUCUGUGUAUUUAUGUCUUGUGUACACCAUGUUUCAUGACUGAAAAUAUAUAAAAGUUCUGAUUAAUUGGCUCAAAGAAAAAUAAAAGCACUUAAAUACUUUAACAACAAAAAGGAAAGACUAGUCAAAUGCUUUUUCAAGUUUCUGUGACUUAAGUAAAACCUUUAAUAAAUAAGCUAGCUUUAAAAAUUAUUGGUAAAGUAAUAUUAAAAAUAUCUUAAGAGUUGCUAGCAUACAUUUUUGUUUGCAGUUAUUAAUCAAGGAAUUUCAUACUUAUCUCUUCCAAAUACUAUAAGGUAUUUGGCAGAGAGGCUACAAAACUAUAACUCAGCCCAGAACAGAAUGAUCUUUACUUGCAUAAUUUUUAAUAAACAAAACAUUAAUAUUGGUUUAAUGAACAUAGCUACAUUUUAAACUAUUUAGUAAAAUACCCUAACUUCUAAUCCUGUGGUCUUAGGCAGGCUAGACUACAAACAUGAAGGAAGUUUGUUCUGAGGAAGGACUGUUAUCAUCUUUGUUUCAGUGCUAAACUAUAAACUAAGUUAAUGAAUAAGAAUAGCUUGGAGGUUAGAAGCAAGAUGGAGUCAGUUAGGUCAGAUCAUUUUUGCUGUCUGAGUUAUAAUUUUGCAAUGGUGGUUUUAUAAUUUUAAAUGAUGACUUUUGCAAUUUUCAUAAAUAAUCUAGGUAAAUUAUUAAAACAAAUAAUUAGAUAAAUGUAAUGGGAUAAAUGCUCAUAAACAAACUUGUCAUUAUUUGGUGUUUCCCAAUAAAAAUAUAUUGUAGGAAAAUGUUCUUUCUAAAGAUUGUAUCCUUUUUAAAGGGUAAGUAAUUUUUGUCUAAUUCAAAGCUUAUUUAAAGGUUAUAUAUAAAACAAGGUAAAAGAAAUCAGGAAAUAAGAGAGAUAUAAAGAAAGUGAUAAAACUAAAGAGUUUGAAAAAGUAUUGGUAAAAUUAAAAUAUCUUCAAAAGUGUCAACAUUUGGCCUAAAUUAUGCAGGUAAAAUAUUACACUUGCUAAAUGUUUUGGAUCAUAAACUGCUUCUUUGACUUAAAAAUUGUUAAUUUAUUUUAGAGAAUUAAAUUCCAGAUAAGGCCUGGGACACAUGGAGUUAGACACUGGAAUAAGUAAGACCUUAUCUACACUUCUGUGUGGGUCCUAGGCUGCACACCUAGUACAUAAUUAAAUCACAGAAUUACCAAGGUUUUCACCAUAAGUAAAGGUUGCUAAGAGUUAACAGUGUAACAUGUAUUUAAGACUAUUGAAGAAACAGUUUACAUGCAAGGUGUGUAAGGAUAGUAAAAUAUACUUUUGGUUAAAAGAUUGUAAGGCGGCACGAGAAAGUGGAUUUUUGCCUUUUAAAGGUUAAAGGAUUGUUUUAAGUGAAUAAAAUACAGAUGAAGGUUUAAGCAAGCUGUGGAAGGUUAAUUGUAAAGGAAAUUCUUUGUGUAAACAUAUUGGUUAGAGUUAAAGUAGUAUCAUUCAGUUUUUCUGUAAAUUGAGCAUUAAAAUGAAAGCACAAUGGAUUUCUCUUAGCGCUCUAAACUGCUCUUUAACAAAAAUUGUAAAGGGUUAUAAAAGAUCUAUAAAAAUCUUACUUUAUGAUCAAACAUUAAAAUUGAGUAAAUAUAUCUGUAAGGAUUUAUUAAGAAUUGGGUUUAACAUUAAUAGUACACUAAUGUAAAAGUAAAAUUUGGCUUAUUUGGUGUAAAAAUCAUACAGAAAACAUUGUCAAAAAUGAGAUGGUGUUUGGUUUUCUUUAGGCUAUAUUUGUAUAAAUAUGUUAUUGGGAUAUGUUCCAAAAUCAUGUGAAACUCCUAUCAUUCUGAUAUGUCUUAGUGUACAUUUUCAGUAAUAAUUAUAACUGUUAUGUUAAAUUAUUGUGUGCCACAGAGGUAACAGAUCUCCUUGUCAAUUAUUGUCUUGUUUUGGUCCUCUUUAGAAGGUGCUCUUGAAUGCAGGUUUCUAAUAACUUUGGAGAUUAUGACAUCGGAAUAGAGGAAAAACAUUCAGGACUCUUGAAGAACUAAAAUAUUCAUUAAUAUCAAGCAGGAUGGGAAUUAACUGCAUGAACUGAACUGAUAGGAGACUGAAGUGAUCUUUUUGACUUUUUGCUUAAAAUGCUGCUGAUCCUUUGUUUUGCUUUUCAGAGUCAAGGAAGCUUUUCUUUCGUGCUACUAACAGCUUUUAACAAUUAAAUAAAGUAUACUCCUAUGAACAAAAUUUGGAGUACGUUUGUUUCUCUCUGACUGGUCCCUCUAGAAUUUGGAAACUAUCUGUGAGUAUUCUUAAUUCAGGGCAAUAUAAUUAUUUGCGUAAGUGCAAUAAAAAUCUGUUUUCUUUUGUAACAUGUCACAGUUGGAACACCUGGUUAUUUUAACAAGGCUUUGACUGGAAUGGUACGCUCUUGUUUAAGGAAUCAAACAACUUAUGGAGCCAAUAAAGCCCUUGGAAACCUGGCCUCAUAUUUUGUGUACACAGUCCCUGUACAGGGUUUCUGAUGUGUGGUAAGUAUAGAAUGUCACUUUCUGAUGGGUCAGGAGCCUCAAGUUAUCUUGGAACCUCAAGAGGAGAGGAAGUCACCCAACUCAUAAGUAUUUGAUGGAACAAAUCCAUGACUGGGUUCAUCUUUAAAAAAGUCUUAUCCCGGAUUCCUUCUAUGGAACAAAGUUCCAUCAAAGACAAUAUAAAAGGCCUAUGUGAAAAAUAAUUAUUCUUGCAGCACUGUAUAUAAAUAAUCAGACCAAAUAUAAUAACGCAAACCAGGCCUACUAUGAUUUGUCUUUUAAUAAAAAUGGGAAACUGAAGAAAGAAAAAAUAUUUUUCAAAAAAUAUAGUACACCUGUUGUUAAAUUCUACUCUUGCGUGAUGUUUUUCCUAUGAUUUCAGCAUCUGCAUCACCUGGGAACUCAGAGAUGCAGAUUCUCAGGCUCUACUGAGACAGAGUCUGUGGGUGGGAAUCGGAAAUCUGUGCUUUAACAAGCCCUGGGGGAUACCGAUGAUGCUAAUGUUUAAGAUGUCUGGUUUACAUGAUCUUCACUAUUGCAUUUUCACUUAAUCAAGUAUUGCUAGAAUACAGACUCUAGAGUCAGAUGACAUAGAUCUGAAUCUCAGCUCUACCCCUUAAAGAUGCUUUAUGACCUUGUACAUGUUAUCGGCCUCUUUACACCACAGUUUCCUCAUUUGUUAAAGGGAGAUGGCAUCCUCGUUGAUAAGCCCCCUGCCCACUGUGUCUUCCCUCUCCUCCCC